rnacentral:rRNA from 1 species
AGAUUAAGUUAUUAAGGGCGCACGGUGGAUGCCUUGGCACUAGAAGCCGACGAAGGACGUUACUAACGACGAUAUGCUUUGGGUAGCUGUAAGUAAGCGUUGAUCCAGAGAUUUCCGAAUGGGGGAACCCAGCACGAGUUAUGUCGUGUUAUCGACAAGUGAAUUCAUAGCUUGUCAGAAGGCAGACCCGGAGAACUGAAACAUCUUAGUACCCGGAGGAAGAGAAAGAAAAAUCGAUUCCCUGAGUAGCGGCGAGCGAAACGGGAAGAGCCCAAACCAAUAAGCUUGCUUAUUGGGGUUGUAGGACACUCUAUACGGAGUUACAAAGGAAUAUAUUAGACGAAUCAUCUGGAAAGUUGAAUCAAAGAAGGUAAUAAUCCUGUAGUUGAAAUAUAUUCUCUCUUGAGUGGAUCCUGAGUACGACGGAGCACGUGAAAUUCCGUCGGAAUCUGGGAGGACCAUCUCCUAAGGCUAAAUACUCUCUAGUGACCGAUAGUGAACCAGUACCGUGAGGGAAAGGUGAAAAGUACCCCGGAAGGGGAGUGAAAGAGAACUUGAAACCGUGUGCUUACAAGUAGUCAGAGCCCGUUAAUGGGUGAUGGCGUGCCUUUUGUAGAAUGAACCGGCGAGUUACGAUCUGAUGCAAGGUUAAGCAGGAGAUGUGGAGCCGUAGCGAAAGCGAGUCUGAAUAGGGCGUUGAGUAUUUGGUCGUAGACCCGAAACCAGGUGAUCUACCCAUGGUCAGGUUGAAGUUCAGGUAACACUGAAUGGAGGACCGAACCGACUUACGUUGAAAAGUGAGCGGAUGAACUGUGGGUAGCGGAGAAAUUCCAAUCGAACUUGGAGAUAGCUGGUUCUCUCCGAAAUAGCUUUAGGGCUAGCCUCAAGUGAUGAUUAUUGGAGGUAGAGCACUGUUUGGACGAGGGGCCCCUCUCGGGUUACCGAAUUCAGACAAACUCCGAAUGCCAAUUAAUUUAACUUGGGAGUCAGAACAUGGGUGAUAAGGUCCGUGUUCGAAAGGGAAACAGCCCAGACCACCAGCUAAGGUCCCAAAAUAUAUGUUAAGUGGAAAAGGAUGUGGCGUUGCCCAGACAACUAGGAUGUUGGCUUAGAAGCAGCCAUCAUUUAAAGAGUGCGUAAUAGCUCACUAGUCGAGUGACACUGCGCCGAAAAUGUACCGGGGCUAAACAUAUUACCGAAGCUGUGGAUUGUCCGUAGGACAAUGGUAGGAGAGCGUUCUAAGGGCGUUGAAGCAUGAUCGCAAGGACAUGUGGAGCGCUUAGAAGUGAGAAUGCCGGUGUGAGUAGCGAAAGACGGGUGAGAAUCCCGUCCACCGAUUGACUAAGGUUUCCAGAGGAAGGCUCGUCCGCUCUGGGUUAGUCGGGUCCUAAGCUGAGGCCGACAGGCGUAGGCGAUGGAUAACAGGUUGAUAUUCCUGUACCACCUAGCAUCGUUUUAAUCGAUGGGGGGACGCAGUAGGAUAGGCGAAGCGUACGAUUGGAUUGUACGUCCAAGCAGUGAGAUUGAGUGUUAGGCAAAUCCGGCACUCUUAAGAUUGAGCUGUGAUGGGGAGAGGAAAUUGUUUCCUCGAGUCGUUGAUUUCACACUGCCGAGAAAAGCCUCUAGAUAGAUAAUAGGUGCCCGUACCGCAAACCGACACAGGUAGUCAAGAUGAGAAUUCUAAGGUGAGCGAGCGAACUCUCGUUAAGGAACUCGGCAAAAUGACCCCGUAACUUCGGGAGAAGGGGUGCUCUUUAGGGUGCAAGCCCAGAAGAGCCGCAGUGAAUAGGCCCAAGCGACUGUUUAUCAAAAACACAGGUCUCUGCUAAACCGUAAGGUGAUGUAUAGGGGCUGACGCCUGCCCGGUGCUGGAAGGUUAAGAGGAGUAGUUAGCUUCUGCGAAGCUACGAAUCGAAGCCCCAGUAAACGGCGGCCGUAACUAUAACGGUCCUAAGGUAGCGAAAUUCCUUGUCGGGUAAGUUCCGACCCGCACGAAAGGCGUAACGAUUUGGGCACUGUCUCAACGAGAGACUCGGUGAAAUCAUAGUACCUGUGAAGAUGCAGGUUACCCGCGACAGGACGGAAAGACCCCGUGGAGCUUUACUGUAGCCUGAUAUUGAAAUUCGGCACAGCUUGUACAGGAUAGGUAGGAGCCUUUGAAACGUGAGCGCUAGCUUACGUGGAGGCGCUGGUGGGAUACUACCCUAGCUGUGUUGGCUUUCUAACCCGCACCACUUAUCGUGGUGGGAGACAGUGUCAGGCGGGCAGUUUGACUGGGGCGGUCGCCUCCUAAAAGGUAACGGAGGCGCUCAAAGGUUCCCUCAGAAUGGUUGGAAAUCAUUCAUAGAGUGUAAAGGCAUAAGGGAGCUUGACUGCGAGACCUACAAGUCGAGCAGGGUCGAAAGACGGACUUAGUGAUCCGGUGGUUCCGCAUGGAAGGGCCAUCGCUCAACGGAUAAAAGCUACCCCGGGGAUAACAGGCUUAUCUCCCCCAAGAGUUCACAUCGACGGGGAGGUUUGGCACCUCGAUGUCGGCUCAUCGCAUCCUGGGGCUGUAGUCGGUCCCAAGGGUUGGGCUGUUCGCCCAUUAAAGCGGUACGCGAGCUGGGUUCAGAACGUCGUGAGACAGUUCGGUCCCUAUCCGUCGUGGGCGUAGGAAAUUUGAGAGGAGCUGUCCUUAGUACGAGAGGACCGGGAUGGACAUACCUCUGGUGUACCAGUUGUCGUGCCAACGGCAUAGCUGGGUAGCUAUGUAUGGACGGGAUAAGUGCUGAAAGCAUCUAAGCAUGAAGCCCCCUCAAGAUGAGAUUUCCCAACUUCGGUUAUAAGAUCCCUCAAAGAUGAUGAGGUUAAUAGGUUCGAGGUGGAAGCGUGGUGACACGUGGAGCUGACGAAUACUAAUCGAUCGAAGACUUAAUCAAUUU